GAUGAACGCUGGCGGCGUGCCUAAUACAUGCAAGUCGAGCGAACAGACGAGGAGCUUGCUCCUCUGACGUUAGCGGCGGACGGGUGAGUAACACGUGGAUAACCUACCUAUAAGACUGGGAUAACUUCGGGAAACCGGAGCUAAUACCGGAUAAUAUAUUGAACCGCAUGGUUCAAUAGUGAAAGACGGUUUUGCUGUCACUUAUAGAUGGAUCCGCGCCGCAUUAGCUAGUUGGUAAGGUAACAGCUUACCAAGGCAACGAUGCGUAGCCGACCUGAGAGGGUGAUCGGCCACACUGGAACUGAGACACGGUCCAGACUCCUACGGGAGGCAGCAGUAGGGAAUCUUCCGCAAUGGGCGAAAGCCUGACGGAGCAACGCCGCGUGAGUGAUGAAGGUCUUCGGAUCGUAAAACUCUGUUACUAGGGAAGAACAAAUGUGUAAGUAACUAUGCACGUCUUGACGGUACCUAAUCAGAAAGCCACGGCUAACUACGUG
rnacentral:rRNA from 1 species